rnacentral:rRNA from 1 species
GCUUACGGCCAUACCACCCUGAGAACGCCCGAUCUCGUCCGAUCUCGGAAGCUAAGCAGGGUCGGGCCUGGUUAGUACUUGGAUGGGAGACCGCCUGGGAACACCAGGUGCUGUAAGCA